UAGUCCUACGGGAGGCAGCAGUGGGGAAUAUUGGGCAAUGGGCGCAAGCCUGACCCAGCAACGCCGCGUGAAGGAAGAAGGCUUUCGGGUUGUAAACUUCUUUUCUCAGGGACGAAGAGAGUGACGGUACCUGAAGAAAAAGCUCCGGCUAACUACGUGCCAGCAGCCGCGGUAAUACGUAGGGAGCGAGCGUUGUCCGGAAUUACUGGGUGUAAAGGGAGCGUAGGCGGGACGGCAAGUCAGAUGUGAAAACUGAGGGCUCAACUUUCAGACUGCAUUUGAAACUGCUGUUCUUGAGUGAAGUA
rnacentral:rRNA from 1 species